AUUGAACGCUGGCGGCAGGUUUAACACAUGCAAGUCGAGCGGGGGAAGGUAGCUUGCUACUGGACCUAGCGGCGGACGGGUGAGUAAUGCUUAGGAAUCUGCCUAUUAGUGGGGGACAACAUCUCGAAAGGGAUGCUAAUACCGCAUACGUCCUACGGGAGAAAGCAGGGGAUCUUCGGACCUUGCGCUAAUAGAUGAGCCUAAGUCGGAUUAGCUAGUUGGUGGGGUAAAGGCCUACCAAGGCGACGAUCUGUAGCGGGUCUGAGAGGAUGAUCCGCCACACUGGGACUGAGACACGGCCCAGACUCCUACGGGAGGCAGCAGUGGGGAAUAUUGGACAAUGGGGGGAACCCUGAUCCAGCCAUGCCGCGUGUGUGAAGAAGGCCUUAUGGUUGUAAAGCUCUUUAAGCGAGGAGGAGGCUACUUUAGUUAAUACCUAGAGAUAGUGGACGUUACUCGCAGAAUAAGCCCGGCUAACUCUGUGCCAGCCGCCGCAGUAA
rnacentral:rRNA from 1 species